UACAGAGGUCUCGAGCGUUAGGCGGAAUCACUGGGCUUAAAGCGUGUGUAGGCGGAUUGCUAAGUACCUUGUGAAAUCCCACGGCUUAACCGUGGAACUGCUUGGUAUACUGGCUGUCUUGAGCCACUUAGGGGCGACCGGAACAAACGGUGGAGCGGUGAAAUGCGUAGAUAUCGUUUGGAACGCCAAAGGUGAAAACAGGUCGCUGGGAGUGUGCUGACGCUGAGACACGAAAGCGUGGGUAGCAAACAGG
rnacentral:rRNA from 1 species